CGGCCCCGCCAGGCGCCCGGGCCCUUUGCACGCGGCGCCCCGCUCUGCGCCGGCCUCCCGGGGAGGCGCGCGGGGCGUUUUGCACGCGGGGCGUUUUGCACGCGGGACGUUUUGCACGCGGGGCGUUUUGCACGCGGCGCCCGGCUCUGCGCUGCGGCCCGGCGCGCUGCCGGCGGGAGGUUUGCACACAGCGCUCUGCUCCUCGCUGUGCAGAGCGGGGCAGCGCGGCCGAGGUUUGCACGCAGCACCCUGCCCUCGCUCGGCGUCCCGCGCCCGGGGAGGUUUGCACGCGUCGCCCCGGCCGGGCGCAGCGCAGCCUGCACGCGCCGUCCGCCCCGGGCCGCGCGCCCGGCYCUGCGGGGGUCGCCCUCGCCCGCACGCCGGCACCGUGCGCAGGGGCUCCGCACCCGCCCCCUCCCCGCGGCCGCAUAAGGAGGAGGCAGAGGCCGCGGGCAGCAAACCGCCCGCCUGGCCGAGGGGCCCCGUGCCGCAGCGCUGCGCCAGCCAUGGACCCCCGGGACUGCGCCUGCGAGGCCGGCGCCUCCCGUAGCUGCGCGCCCGGCUGCGAGUGCAGAGCCCGCAACUGCGCGUCGCGCCAGGAAAGCUGCUGCUCCUGCUGCCCGGGUGGCUGCAAGAACUGCGCCGCGGGCUGCAUCUGCGAGGACCCGUCGUCUCCAAGAUGUACCUGCUGUCAGUGACGCGGCUGGCGGCUUCCCGCUCCCWUGGGAAUAUUUUCUGUGUGAAAAUCCUGGUUUUGUAACUUUUUCACCGGUGUGGUAGCUGCCGUCAGCCUCGGCGCGCCUGGGCGUAGCGCGAAGGUGAUGGGAAUAAAGGCUUGAUGCAAGACGUGGAUGCGGGGUUU
rnacentral:lncRNA from 1 species